rfam:Trichobilharzia regenti genome assembly, scaffold: TRE_scaffold0000352
AUCCAGCUGACGAGUCCCAAAUAGGACGGAAAUGCGAUCCUGGAU